rnacentral:misc_RNA from 2 species
UUGAAAGUAAUCGAGUUCUACUGUUGCUGGCUUCUCUAGCAUGUGCACGUAGUUCUCUUUUCUAUUCAUCCACCUGUGCAUCUUUUGUAGUGGGCUUUUCUGGAUUGACCCUUAGUGGUUGGUUUGAAUUCCCACUAUGUCUUAUAAACACCGCUAUAGUAUGUUAAUAGAAUGUCUUGUUAUUAUUGGGACUUUGUUGGCCCUUUAAAACACUUUGUA